AAGACCAAGAGUCCAAGACUAGAGACUAGAAUCAUCAGCUGAACACCAACACGGUGCCCAUGCUGCUGUCUAAAAAGAGGAUGUCCUCGUGUCCCACCUGUCCUUGAGUCCAGAGACCACAGCUCAUGACUUCAAGAUGGGGAGCCAUUUACCCUCUGCUGUCAUGGAAGAAUGAAGAACGCUGCCAAUCGCCAGAGGCCGACAUGUUUAUCAAGCUGAGUAUCUUGAAGUCUGACAUAAAAUCUGUGGCCUUUGGUAUAACCGAAAAACACUCUGUCAACACCACGGAGAGAGCACGCCCGAGGCACUGGCCUCUGCCCAAGGAGUGCAGAGGAAUGGACGAAAAAUUGACUCAAGUCCAAAAAUUACAAAAUGAGGGAAAGUCAAACUCGAGGCGAACAAACCUUUUCCAUCGAGUCUGGUUAACAUCUUGGGGAAGCAUCCAGCCCACAAGCUGGUCAGUGCUUAGGUGGAAAUACAAGUUUUUCUCCCUUUUGGAAAGCCACGUUGCUCCUGCUCUGAUGAAUACAUCAAUUAUAUUAAAACUGAGAGUGUCUGUCAGGGCAAUGUUAAAAGGUCCACUAUGUUACAGACUGCCCUCGUCAGAAACAAAACGUCCUUCAAAUGCCCACUUCUCCAUUGCUCCAUUGCUCUGGCCAAAUAGCUGGAGAGGGGAAACAUGUAAACUCUGGGGGGGAUGGGGGAGUAGUUUAAGAUGCACUUGUAUUCAUAGUGACCAGCAUAAUACCCUCCUCCUCCUUCUACAUCUUCUGUAAGAAAAGUAAUCAACCCCCCAAAAAGGUUGUCAAUGACUGCCCAAAAGCCAACAUCUGGAUGUUUGAAAAGACAAGCUUGAUUAGAGGGGGCUGAAAUACUCUGUCCUCAGCUUUUCCUUCAAGUCCUGGCUUCUGGGGUCCCAGGGAAGGCGUCUACAAUAGCCAGACCCCACAGUGCACCAGGAUCCAAGCUAAAACUGGAGACAGUCCACAGUCCUCACCACAGAGCCUGGAACCACAGGUCAACCUGUGCAUCCUCUCAUGGGCUCUGUUGCUUUAUGAGUCACUGGAACCCUCAACCUUGGCCUUGUCAUUUUCAUUCAUCGUGUGUGUGUGUGUGUGUGUGUGUGUGUGUGUGUGUGUGUGUGUGUGUUUGCAGAGACCCCUACCCCUGCCUCUCCCUGUAGUGUCUGUCCCCAAGACCCACCACCCUCAGCUGCUUACACUGGCAGACCGGCCUGAAAUGGGAGCGUCAGGAUCCUUGCUGCUAUGCACAUAGCCAACAUUCCAUAAGAUUUAUGUCACAAAAGCCUGUGGAAAUGACAGAUGGUGGGAAAGAGGGGCCAAGGAGGCAAGUAAAAAUAAUCCAACUCUGGUUUAACCAAGGGUGGCCCAGUCCCCGAACCUAGACAGUGAUGUGGUAGUUUCAGGGCCAUGGACUUAGCAAGAGAAAAAUAAAUAAACAAAGCAUGUGAGGUG